rnacentral:rRNA from 1 species
CGGACGGGUGAGUAACGCGUGGAAAACCUGCCGUAUACUGGGGGAUAACACUUAGAAAUAGGUGCUAAUACCGCAUAAGCGCACAGCUUCGCAUGAAGUGGAGUGAAAAACUCCGGUGGUAUACGAUGGUUCCGCGUCUGAUUAGCUUGUUGGUGGGGUAAUGGCUCACCAAGGCGACGAUCAGUAGCCGGCCUGAGAGGGUGAACGGCCACAUUGGGACUGAGACACGGCCCAAACUCCUACGGAAGGCAGCAG